rnacentral:rRNA from 1 species
UACGUAGGUCACGAACGUUGCGCGAAUUUACUGGGCGUAAAGGGUCCGUAGGCGGUUUAGCAAGUGGUUGGUGAAAUUUCACGGCUCAACCGUGAAACUGCCUUCCAAACUGCUAAACUUGAGGCAGGGAGAGGUCGGCGGAAGUCCCGGUGUAGCGGUGAAAUGCGUAGAUAUCGGGAGGAACACCAGUGGCGAAGGCGGCCGACUGGAACUGUCCUGCCGCUGAGGGACGAAAGCUAGGGGAGCAAACCGG